AGUGGUUGCGGGGCCCAGAAUCCCCUGUGUAACUGGUUUCCACAUUAUGUCUUCUAACCAAGAGAGAGUGAGAGGGAGAGAUGCGGGGACAUAGAGAGAGGUCCUCCAUCUGCUGGUUCUCUCGCAAAUGGCUGCAGCACCCAGGGCUGGCCUGGCUGGAGCCAGGAGCCAGGAGCUUCUCCCGGGUCUCCCAUGUGGGUGCAGGCGCCUGGGCCAUCACUGCUGCCUCCCAGGACAUCAGCAGGCACGUGGGACGGAAGUGGAGCAGCCGGGACUCGAACCAGCGCAGCUUAACCCCAGCACAGCGCCGACCCCACGCUCCCGACCUUGCUCCUGUGGGAGCUCCCUCUCUGCGUGCGCAGUCCGCCGUGGAUGCGUCAGGUUGCACCUUUGGCUUCCAAGGGAAGAAUUUUGUCUCCAAAGGGCAGCGCGGCGUCCUGCGCUCUGGUGGAGGCUGCGAGGGCCUUCGCACCCCUGCGGCUCGCAGGGUGCGUCGCUGCCCCCGGAGCUCUGCUCCCGGGACCCUGUCCCCUUCCUGGCGGGGGUGGCCGGGGGCUCAGCCUCUCGGGGCUGCCGUGUCCCUGACCUCGUGGACUUCCUGUUUGUCGUCGGACGUUCACCUGCUGGGCUCCGGCAGGGACUCGUUGCCUAUCUCAUUCAUGUUUCUUACGGUAACCUGAAGUGCGGCGCGCACCCCCUGCCGGCUAAAGGGCCUGGGCCCCACCAGGCCGACUUGGACGUGGAAUCAAAGCCCGCGGCGCAGGCAGCUUUGUGGAGAGGCCGCUGCUGAGCAGGCGCAGGAGAGACCGCGUCUCCUAGGAGGCUCGGGCCAGUGCGGCUCCCAGCAAGGUGGCAGCGGGUGCGGCGCGGCACGGGGCACGGGUGCCUGCCUGUCGCCUUCUGCAGGCUUCCACACUCGCUCUCCACGACCACCAAAGCGGGACCUCACGCCCUGCCCCUCUGACCGCCAGCUCUUCCUUGGCCCUCAGCACCCCUGCCUGGCUCUGCUGGCCCCAGAGGCCCUGCUCAGGGUGGCCACCUGGGUAAUUCCUGCCGUGAGACGCCCACCUGGGCCGGGCUGGCCCCCUCGUGUUGUCUUCCUCCUGCCUUAGCAGCAGCCAGCUGCCUUGGGAAGUGGGGGGGGGGG
rnacentral:lncRNA from 1 species